GUCAUCAUCUUGUUAGUCCCUUGGAUGAUUCAUGGACACAAAAUAUGAAUGGUAAUAUAAAUAUCUAAUAAGUCCAAAAUCAUGUCCUAGAAAUAUAAUAUAUGUUAGCCAAGAUUAACUUCUAGAGCAUACAUCAAAUAAUCUUCCACUUGCACUAAAUCCAAUCUGCCAUAUACGAAGCUCUAUCUUCAUAAGACAGGCUUUAUUUUAGACUGCUAAGUGACUUACCAGU
rnacentral:lncRNA from 1 species